AGGAGGAGCAGGCAGGGAAGGGAUGUGUGUGAGGGUGCGGGGAGGCGAGCGCUGACAUUUCUCCUCCGCCCCUGCUGGCCGGCUUGGUGGGGUCUCGGCCCUGCGACCCGGGGAGCCCUCUUGGGCGGGAGUGUUUCCUGAGACGGGUGGCCCCGCGUGGAGCAGGCUGUGUCCAUCCAUCUCAUGUGCUGCGUGUUCCCGUAGAGCCUUGUUCCGUGCCGUCCGGCAGAGAGCUCCGUCUCGUCGCCUCUCAGGCCCUGCCCUGCCUCAGCAUGGCCAUCUCAUCGCGCCUCGCCCUGUGGGAGCAGAAGAUCCGGGAAGAGGACAAGAGCCCUCCACCGUCCUCGCCCCCUCCCCUUUUCUCUGUCAUCCCAGGGGGCUUCAUUAGGCAACUGGUCCGAGAGACUGAGAAAGAGUCCAAGGAAGCGAGACGGAGGAAGGAGGCAGAGCUCGCCUCUCCGGAACGAGAGAUCCCAGACAUUUCCACUAGCCAACCCAACAGCAAAUCCAACAGUGGCGCCAAAUCUGGAAGCCAACAGAUUCCCCAGGACAGCCAGCCGAGCUCUGCCCAGGACUCAAGCAUUCCGGGCAAGGAGCGCGAGGGGGCCGGCCCCGCGGACCCCAUGCUGAUGACCAGCAUCAACGGCGAGAAACCCCAGGAGUCGGGCCCCGGCGGGACACCGGCCAAAAAACCUGUGCCCUUCAGGAGAGGAAUAAGAAGAGGCGACGUGUUGCUCAUGGUGGCCAAGCUGGACCUGGACGCCGCCAAGCCGGAGCAGAGGGCCCAGCCCCGUGAUGGCCCCACCUGCAAGUCCCCACCGCCAGCCACAGACCCUGGAGGGGAGAAGAAAGGGGAGACCCCAGGGCCUCCUCGUGGCCCCCAGGCCAGCACUGAAGAUGCAGCCCCGAAAGCUGAGAAGAUUCAGACUGGGGGUCUUGGGGACCCAGGCCAGAAGGCACAAGGCACAGGGGAGAAAGGGGGCGGGGCCCCCCAGACCAAAGGGCUGAAAGGGGGUGAGGGCAACGAGGGGCCAGGUGAAGGGGGGCAACCACGGACAGCGGAGAAGGGGGCAGGGGACCCCCCAGCCAAGAUGGCAAAGGGAAAACUCUCCAAGGAUGCCGGCGGGGAGGGGAGGUGGGCUGGGGCCCAAAUCCAGAUGAGAAGGUGGGGAGGUUCCCUGGGCAGAAGGAGCAAGUGGGAUGGUCCCCAGAGUAAGAAGGACAGAGAGGGUGACCUCCUAAGUAAGGCAGAGAAGACAGAUGGACCUCAGAUCAAGACGGAGACGGGCAAUGCACAGGAGAAGGUUGGCAAGGUGGGGGAAGCUCCCAGACUGACCGAGAAGGCAGGGGAGCCCCUGGGUGAGAUGGGGAAGGUGGGGCAGCCUCAGGGUGAGGCCGGGGAGGCAGGGAGGGCUGGGAGCAAGACUGAGAAGGGCUGGGAAGCCCCCAAGGAGGCGGACGCACGGGGGGAGACCCCAGCGGCAGCUAGGAAGGCGGGCCGGCCAGACAGGAAAGGGCAGAAGGCAGAGGAACCCCGUGCCAGGGUGGACGUUGGGGCCAAAGCUUUGGAGACACUGCUGGCACGACCCAGACCCCCCGCUCUGGAGAGCCAGGCAGAGAGGACUCAGACACAGAAGGAGACCCGAGAGGGGCCGGCCCUGCAGGAGGGGGGCAAUGGAGGCCAGAGUGGAGCCUCUGACCAGGACCAGGCUCCAGAAGACAGAUGGUACGAGGCCGAGAAAGUCUGGCUGGUCCAGAAGGAUGGAUUCACCCUCGCAACGGUGCUGAAGCCAGACGAGGGAACAGCCGACCUGCCAGCAGGAAGGGUGCGCCUUUGCAUUGAUGCUGACAAAACCAUCACCGAGGUGGAUGAGGAGCAUGUUCAUCGGGCCAACCCCCCCGAGCUGGACCAGGCCGACAACCUGGCCUCCCUGGUCAGUGUCAACGAGUCGAGUGUCCUGAACACGCUUCGGCACCGCUACGAAGCUGGGCUGCUGCACACCUGGACCGGGCCGGACCUGAUCGUCCUGCAGCCGCGGGGGUCCCCGGCACCCUCUGCAGGCAAGGUGCCUAGAGGCCGCUGGGAUGGCCUGCCCGCCCAUGUUGGCUCCCUGGCCCAGCGGGCGUACUGGGAGCUGCUGAGCGAGCGGAAGGACCAGAGCAUCGUGGCCCUGGGCCGGAGCGGUGCUGGGAAGACCACCUGCUGCAAGCAGGUCCUGGAGCACCUGGUGGGGAUGGCAGGCAGUGUGGAUGGCACGGUCUCAGUGGAGAAGAUUCGAGCUGUCUUCACCGUCCUCCGGGCCUUUGGCUCCGUGUCCACCGGCCACAGCCACAGUGCCACCCGCUUCACCAUGCUGAUGUCGCUGGACUUCAAUGCCACAGGCCGGGUCACGGCCGCUCAGCUGCAGACGAUGCUUCUGGAGAAGAGCCGUGUGGCACGGCAGCCGGAGGGCGAAGGCAAUUUCGAAGUUUUCUCCCAGAUGUUGGCAGGACUGGACUUGGAUCUCAGGACGGACCUGUACCUGCACCAGAUGGCGGACAGCAGCUCCUUCGGCAUGGGCACUUGGCCCAAGCCUGAAGACAAGCAGAAGGCAGCGGCUGCCUUUGCCCAGCUCCAGGGCGCCAUGGGGACGCUGGGCAUCUCGGAGAGCGAGCAGCGAGCCGUUUGGCGGGUGUUGGCGGCCAUCUACCACCUGGGUGCCGCGGGGGCCUGCAAAGUGGGCCGGAAGCAGUUCAUGCGGUUCGAGUGGGCGAACCGUGCAGCCGAGGCCCUGGGCUGUGAGUAUGAGGAGCUGAACACGGCCACCUUCAAGCACCACCUGCGACAGAUCAUCGAGCAGGUGACGAGUGGGCCGAACCGGCGGGGCCUUGAGGACGAGGAGACCAGCUCAGGGCUCAAGAUGACAGGCGUAGAGUGUGUGGAGGGGAUGGCCUCGGGCCUGUACCAGGAGCUCUUUGCUGUCGUGGUCUCGCUUAUCAACAGGUCCCUCUCCUCCCACCACCUCUCCAUGGCCUCCAUCACGGUGGUGGACCCUCCUGGCUUUCAAAACCCCCGGCACCAGGGCAAGGAGCGGGCGGCCACCUUCGAGGAGCUGUGCCACAACUACGCCCACGAGCGCCUGCAGCUGCUCUUCCACCGGCGGACCUUUGUCUCAGCGCUGGAGCGACACCGGGAGGAAGGUGUCCCUGUGCAGUUUGACCUUCCGGAGCCGUCCCCAGGGACCACGGUGGCCGUGGUGGAUCAGAGUCCCUCCCAGGUCCGCUUACCAGCUGGAGGAAGCACUGAGGAUGCGGGGGGCCUUUUCUGGGUCCUGGAUGAGGAGGUCCGGGUGGAGGGCUCGAGUGACAGCGUGGUGCUCGAGCGUCUCUGUGCUGCCUUCGAGAAGAAAGGAGCUGGGGCUGACGGGAUGUCGGCCCUUCGGACCUGUGAGCAGCCCCUCCAGUGUGAGAUUUCCCACCAGCUGGGACGGGACCCCGUGCGCUAUGACCUCACGGGCUGGCUCCACAGAGCCAAGCCCAACCUCUCAACCCUGGGCGCCCCCCAAGUCCUGCAAGAGUCCAAAAGGGAGGAGCUGAGGAGUCUGUUCCAGGCCCGGGCCAAGCUGCCGCCUGUGUGCCGGGCCGUGGCAGGCCUGGAGGGCGCCUCCCCACAGGCGCUGCAGAGGAGCUGCGUCGUCAGGAGGACCUUUGCCAGCAGCUUCGCGGCAGUGAAGAGGAGAGCCCCGUGCUCGCAGAUCAAGCUGCAGAUGGACGCGUUGACCAGCGUCAUCAGACGGUCUCAGCUACACUUCAUCCACUGCCUGCUCCCGGGUCCAGUGGUGGAGGGCAGGGGCAGGCAGGGGUCUUCGACGUCACUACAGCCUGGUGGAGACCAGCCCGGGGCUGGCGGGCCCCUGCCCUUGGACAUCCCGGCCCUGAGGGUGCAGCUUGCAGGGUCCUGCAUCCUGGAGGCGCUGCGUCUGCACAGGGCAGGCUAUGCUGACCACAUGGGGCUCACCCGGUUCCGCCGACGGUUCCAGGCGCUGGACCCUCUGCUCAUGAAGAAGCUCAUGUUGGCCGCCGAGAGGAUUGACGAGAGGAAGGCUGUGGAGGAGCUCCUGCAGACCCUGGAUCUGGAGAAGAAGGCAGUGGCCGUGGGGCACAGCCAAGUCUUCCUCAAGGCGGGCGUGGUCUCCAGGCUUGAGAAACAGCGAGAGAAGAUGCUGAUUCAUAGCAUCGUUUUUUUCCAGGCGACUUGCAAGGGCUUUCUGUCUCGCCAGGAAUUCAAGAAGCUGAAGAUUCACCGACUGGCCGCACAGCGCAUCCAGAAGAACAUGGCUGUGUUCCUGGCGGUCAAGGACUGGCCGUGGUGGAAGCUGCUGGGUUCCCUGAGGCCCCGGCUGAGUACCGCCAUCGGGGAUGAGCAGCUCCAUGCCAAGGAGGAGGAGCUUACAAUGCUGAGAAAGAAGCUAGAAAGAUCGGAGAAGUCUCGGAAUGAACUCCGGCAGAGCACAGACCUGCUGGAGAGCAAGAUUGCUGACUUGACCACAGAGCUCGCUGAUGAGCGCUUCAAAGGGGACGUGGCCUGCCAGGUGCUGGAGAGUGAGCGGGCCGAGAGGCUGAGGGCCUUCCGGGAGGUCCAGGAGCUGAAGAGCAAGUAUGAGCAAGUCCAGAAGAAUUUGGGAGAAGUGCAGAAGCAGUUGGAAGAAGCUCAGCAGAAAAUUCAGUUGAAUGACUUGGAGAGGAGUCACACUGGAAGAGCAGCGGACGAGUGGCAGAUGCGCUUUGACUGUGCCCAGAUGGAGAAUGAGUUCCUCAGAAAGCGGCUACAGCAAUUUGAAGAGAGGUUGGACUCAGAGCUGACAUCCAGGAAAGAGCUGGAGCAGAAGCUUGGGGAGCUGCAGAGCGCUUACGAAGGUGCCAAGAAGACGGCUCACCAGCUGAGGAGGAAGUGCCACGGUCUGACCUGCGACCUGGAGGACACCCGCCUCCUGCUGGAGAACCAGCAAAGUCGCAACCACGAGCUCGAGAAGAAGCAGAAAAAGUUUGACACGCAGCUGGCCCAGGCCCUGGGUGAGUCGGUGUUUGAGAAGGGCCUCCGAGAGAAAGUGGCCCAGGAAAACACCAGCGUCCGGUGGGAGCUAGGCCAGCUUCAGCAACAGUUGAAGCAAAAGGACCAGGAAGCCAUGAAGCUGAGGCAGGAGGUGGAGAUGCUGCAGGCCCAUAAGCGGGAGCUGCUGGGGUCAUCUUCUCUGGGGGAAAAUUGCAUCGCGGGCUUGAAAGAGAGGCUCUGGAAGCUGGAAUCCAGCGCCCUCGAGCAGCAGAAAAUCCAGAACCAGCAGGAAAACACCAUCAAGCAGCUGGAGCAGCUCCGCCAGCGGUUCGAGCUGGAGAUCGAGAGGAUGAAGCAGAUGCACCAGAAGGACCGUGAGGACCAGGAGGAGGAGCUGGAGGACAUCCGCCAGUCCUGCCAGAAGCGGCUCCGCCAGCUGGAAAUGCAGCUGGAGCAGGAAUAUGAGGAGAAGCAGAUGGUCCUCCAUGAGAAGCAGGAUUUGGAAGGCUUGAUCGGGACCCUCUGUGAUCAGAUCGGCCAUCGGGACUUUGACGUCGAGAAGCGUCUUCGGAGGGACCUCAGAAGGACCCAUGCGCUGUUGUCGGACGUACAGCUCCUUCUGGGGACCAUGGAGGAUAGCAAGACGUCGGUCAGCAAGGAGGAGCUGGAGAAAGUACACAGCCAGCUGGAGCAGAGUGAAGCCAAGUGCGAGGACGCCUUGAAGACCCAGAAGGCGCUGACUGCCGACCUGGAGAGCAUGCACAGCGAGCUGGAAAACAUGACCCGGAGCAAGACCCUGGUGGAUGAACAGCUGUACCGGCUACAGUUUGAGAGAGCAGAUCUCCUGAAGCGCAUCGAUGAGGACCAGGAUGACCUGAAUGACCUCAUGCAGAAGCACAAGGACCUCAUUGCUCAGUCUGCGACUGACAUUGGGCAGAUCCAACAAUUGCAGCUGCAGCUGGAGGAAGCCAAGAAGGAGAAGCACAAGCUUCAAGAACAACUGCAGGUGGCUCAGAUGCGCAUCGAGUACCUGGAACAGUCCACUGUGGAUCGAGCCAUUGUCAGCAGGCAGGAGGCAAUCAUCUGUGACCUGGAGAACAAGACAGAGUUCCAGAAAGUGCAGAUUAAGAGAUUCGAGGUCCUCGUGAUCCGGCUCCGGGACAGCCUGAUCAAGAUGGGCGAGGAGCUCUCGCAGGCGACCACGUCCGAGUCCCAGCAGCGAGAGAGCAGCCAGUACUACCAGCGGCGCCUGGAGGAGCUGAAGGCGGACAUGGAGGAGCUGGUGCAGCGGGAGGCGGAGGCCAGCCGCAGGUGCAUGGAGCUGGAGAAGUACGUGGAGGAGCUCGCAGCGGUGAGGCAGACCCUCCAGACAGACCUGGAGACGUCCAUCCGGCGGAUUGCUGACCUGCAGGCAGCCUUGGAAGAGGUGGCGUCCAGCGACAGCGACACGGAGAGUGUCCAGACGGCAGUGGAUUGUGGCGGCAGUGGCAGAAAAGAGAUAGACAACGUCUCCGUCGUCAGCUCCCAGCCAGAGGGCAGUCUGCAGUCCUGGUUGAGUUGUACUCUGUCCCUGGCCACAGACACCAUGAGGAGCCCCUCUCGACAGUCAGCCAUCAGCAGCCACAUCCUCAGCCCCAGGAUGAAUGAGGAGGUCGGGGAUGCUGAGAGGACCCAAGAGGCGUCGGCACUGAGUGGAGCCCGGGACGUGCCAAGCAAGAGCUCUGGGGACAAGUCCGUUUCUCCCCUCUCCCUCUGCCGGCCAAAGUACUGCCAUUUUGGGGAGGGUGAAGAGUGUGGCGCCCAGAGAAAGCCCACGGAGAGAUUAGGAGCUCCGUCUUCUUCCCCAGCCUCUCGGAGUACAAACUCAUCCCCGUCAUCCAGGGAAAAGCUGCCGAGUCCUUCGGCGGCCCUGUCGGAGUUUGUGGAAGGACUCCGGAGGAAGAGAGCGCAGAGAGGCCAGGGCUCGGCGCUGAGCUUGGAGGACUGGCCCACUCUGCCCAUUUACCAGACCACCGGGGCGUCCACACUGAGGAGGGCCAGGGCGGGCAGUGACAAAGGAGACCUCUCACCGAGGCUCAGGGCAAAGUCACCCCUGGAGACGCAGGCCACCGCUGGGACAUCAGCUGGUCUCCUGCGGUCCACCAGCCUGAAAUGCAUCUCUUCUGAGAGCACGGAGGGCACCGCCUUGCUGCCCGAGAAGCUGAAGACCAGGUUCAGUUCCUGCGAGUCCAUCUUAGAGUCAGGGCCAGGCUCGGGGAGAAAAGCGAGAUCCCCAACCAUGCCCAGGGACACGUUCUUGUCGCCCACGCUGCGCCCCCGGAGGCGCUGUCUGGAGGCCUCCCUGGACGACGCGGGCUGUCCAGACCUUGGGAAGGAGCCGCUCGUCUUCCAGAACCGCCAGUUUGCCCACCUAAUGGGGGAGCCUCUGGGCAGUGACCCGUUCAGCUGGAAGCUCCCAAGCCUUAACUAUGAACGCAAGACCAAAGUGGAUUUCGAUGACUUUCUCCCGGCCAUCCGGAAGCCCGAGACUCCUACGUCCUUGGCCAGAGCAGCCAAAGAUGGGCAAGACAGGCCGCAGCAUUCAAGCGUCCACUUUGAGACGGAAGAGGCCGACCGGACCUUUCUCACAGGGAUCAAGACCAUUUUGAAGAAGAGCCCGGAGUCCAAGGAGGACCCCGCUCUCCUCUCUGACUCGUCCUCCUCCUCCAGCUCCAUCGUGUCCUUCAAAAGCGCCGACAGCAUCAAGAGCCGGCCGAGAAUCCCGCGGCUGGAGGGUGACAGUGGGGAGCGCACGUCACCCGAGAACAGAGAGCCGGGGGCGGGGAGGAAAGACGAGGAUGUUGAGAGCAUAAUGAAGAAAUACCUGCAGAAGUAGGAGCUGCUCAGGUAAAGCAACAGCCUGGGACCAUUCUUGCGGAAUGAAAGCAAGAUCGUUUGCCAGGCCCGGCAGCCUGGAGGGAACCAGUUGCUGCUGCCUUUAAUGCUGUGAUGAUUUCUCUAGAGACAAGGGCUUCUAGAGGUUUUUGCUGAAAUAUUGUGUUGCUGGAUGCAAAGCUUAUCAGAUGCCCUCCACUGGGCGCCACCUACUUCUUUACACUUUAAAAUGCAGACCCCUCGGAAAGCAAGAGGGUCCUGUGGGAUGAUGCUGAAGAAGAUGCUGGACUUCACAAGUUUCCUGACCCCUGUCUGGUAUUCUUGGCAGAAUGCAGGAGCUGGCAUGGCAUCCUGUCCACGCAGUGUCGGGAGAUCCGUGUGCCUCCUGAGAUGCACUGCCCUUGAAGAUUCCUGACUCCCCAGCUGUCUGGAGAGAGAGAGCGGCCAGGCCUCCCCAGGGGCCCGCAGUCCAGAGCCAGCCAGUGUGGCCACUCUCGAAAGGCAAGAGGGGCCCAGCCAAGGCAUAUCCCGCAAGACGUGGGGGCUCCCAGUGUGCCUGGUCUGUACAAAAUAAAGUGUUGGCUUC